rnacentral:rRNA from 1 species
AAGGACGAACGCUGGCGGCGUGCUUAACACAUGCAAGUCGAACGAGAAGAGAUGAGAAGCUUGCUUCUUAUCAAUUCGAGUGGCAAACGGGUGAGUAACGCGUAAGCAACCUGCCCUUCAGAUGGGGACAACAGCUGGAAACGGCUGCUAAUACCGAAUACGUUCUCUUUAUCGCAUGGUAGAGGGAAGAAAGGGAGGCUCUUCGGAGCCUUCGCUGGAGGAGGGGCUUGCGUCUGAUUAGCUAGUUGGAGGGGUAAUGGCCCACCAAGGCGACGAUCGGUAGCCGGACUGAGAGGUUGAACGGCCACAUUGGGACUGAGACACGGCCCAGACUCCUACGGGAGGCAGCAGUGGGGAAUCUUCCGCAAUGGACGAAAGUCUGACGGAGCAACGCCGCGUGAACGAUGACGGCCUUCGGGUUGUAAAGUUCUGUUAUACGGGACGAAUGGCGUAGCGGUCAAUACCCGUUACGAGUGACGGUACCGUAAGAGAAAGCCACGGCUAACUACGUA